AGGACGAACGCUGGCGGCGUGCUUAACACAUGCAAGUCGAGCGGAAAGGCCCUUCGGGGUACUCGAGCGGCGAACGGGUGAGUAACACGUGAGCAACCUGCCCUUAGCUCCGGGAUAGCUCCGGGAAACCGGAAUUAAUACCGGAUAUGACCUAGGCCGACAUCGGCUGUGGUGGAAAGUUUUUCGGCUGGGGAUGGACUCGCGGCCUAUCAGCUUGUUGGUGGGGUAAUGGCCUACCAAGGCGACGACGGGUAGCCGGCCUGAGAGGGCGACCGGCCACACUGGGACUGAGACACGGCCCAGACUCCUACGGGAGGCAGCAGUGGGGAAUCUUGCGCAAUGGGCGAAAGCCUGACGCAGCGACGCCGCGUGGGGAUGAAGGCCUUCGGGUUGUAAACCCCUUUCAGCAGGGACGAAGCGAAAGUGACGGUACCUGCAGAAGAAGCGCCGGCUAACUACGUGCCAGCAGCCGC
rnacentral:rRNA from 1 species